UCGCGCUAUUGGAGCGGCCGAUGUCAGAUUAGCUAGUUGGUGGGGUAAAGGCCUACCAAGGCGACGAUCUGUAGCUGGUCUGAGAGGACGACCAGCCACACUGGGACUGAGACACGGCCCAGACUCCUACGGGAGGCAGCAGUGGGGAAUUUUGGACAAUGGGGGCAACCCUGAUCCAGCCAUGCCGCGUGCGGGAAGAAGGCCUUCGGGUUGUAAACCGCUUUUGUCGGGGAAGAAACGGUCUGCGCUAAUACCGCGGACUAAUGACGGUACCCGAAGAAUAAGCACCGGCUAACUACGUGCCAGCAGCCGCGGUAAUACGUAGGGUGCAAGCGUUAAUCGGAAUUACUGGGCGUAAAGCGUGCGCAGGCGGCUUUGCAAGACAGAUGUGAAAUCCCCGGGCUCAACCUGGGAACUGCAUUUGUGACUGCAUGGCUGGAGUGCGGCAGAGGGGGAUGGAAUUCCGCGUGUAGCAGUGAAAUGCGUAGAUAUGCGGAGGAACACCGAUGGCGAAG
rnacentral:rRNA from 1 species